rnacentral:tRNA from 1 species
UCCCUGAUAGCUCAGUUGGUAAGGAAUCUGACUGCAAUGCAGGAGACCCUGGUUCAAUUCCUGGUUCGGGAA